ACUCAAAUGAAUUGACGGGGACCCGCACAAGCGGUGGAGCAUGUGGAUUAAUUCGAUACUAACCGAAGAACCUUACCCAGACUUGACAUCGAUCGCAAGCCUUAGAAAUAGGGCCCUCCCCCACAAGGGGACGUGAAGACACUUGUUGCAUGGCUGUCGUCAGCUCGUGCCGUGAGGUGUACGGUUAAGUCCGCCAACGAGCGCAACCCUCGUCGUGUGUUACCAGCGAGUAAAGUCGGGGACUCACACGAGACCGCCGGUGUAAGCCGGAGGAAGGUGAGGAUGACGUCAAGUCAGCAUGGCAGUUACGUCUGGGGCUUCACACAUGCUACAAUGGGCGCAACAAAGGGCAGCGAUACCGCGAGGUGGAGCCAAUCCCAAAAAUACGCCCUCAGUUCAGAUUGCAGUCUGCAACUCGACUGCAUGAAGUCGGAAUCGCUAGUAAACGCAGGUCAGCUAUACUGCGUUGAAUACGUUCCCGGGUCUUGUACACACCGCCCGU
rnacentral:rRNA from 1 species